AAGAGAAUGUCGAACCGAGAGGUUGGAAGAUGAGGUGGAAGAGAAUGUCGAACCGAGAAGGUGAAGAUGGAGGUGGAAGAAGAAUGUGGAACAGAGAGGUGAAGAUGAGGUGGAAGAGAAUGUCGAACAGAGAGGUGAAGAUAGAAGGUUGUGGAACAGAGAGGUGAAAAGAGGAGAGCUCUGAGUCAAGGCCUUAACUCAGCGAAGAUCGAUCAGACUGGCCACCACCACAUCAGAUUGGGGACUCUUUUUUAGGCAGUGUGGUUGUUGAAAAUGGCCCACACAAAUGCCUGAUGGCCAUAUCCAAAGAUCAGAGAAGUCUAGAAGGUUUUUCAGCAAAGCGUAUUGUUUUCGCACAAUUGUCAAUUGGAGGGAGAAGUUGCACGAGAUUGGGUGUACCUGUAUUCUACAAAGUACGAAUAAGGUGUAUUGUUUUGCGUGUAAACUUUUCGGUGGGAGCUAGCGUUGUUUGAACACGCUUUGUGGUGGGAUAUAAAUAAACUGGCAGAGUCUUUCAAAAACGCUGCAGCACCAAUGAAACCAGUGUUACACAUCAACCGCGUAUCUUUCGGCCACAUCUGCUUACACGCCUUGUAAGACAAUUGACAGUAACCGUUUUGGUCAAAAAAGCCCAUAGAAGCUGAAAAGGCACACUGGAGAAGCGUGUUACGAGAGUGAAUCGAUUGCCAUACUCUUUCCUCGCAGAAAGGAACUUUGCCACUGGAGGGGGAAGACAUCUACAUUAGGAUCCUAAAAAAUGGGAAAUUUUUCUGGGUGUCCCUUGAGGUCAUAGCACGAUAUGAUGUCACACUAGCAGAGCAUCUUAGCAGGUAAGCGGCUAA